GUUUCUUCUGGAGAUCCACUCUGCAGGAGUUUCAUAAAUGAGCCCAGGAUAUGGGUUCCUGUCCUGCUGUCUGGGGGAGAGUUUUGGCAGCCUGCCCAACCAACUGUUGCCCGGAGGACUCCCAGGUGUGGGGAUGAGUGGCAUUGGCAUCGACAUAACUGAUGGCUCUCAAUAUGCUGCAUCAGUAAAAGCACACAGACAAAUGAGGCUGGCCAUGGAGUCACACCAGCCUCAGCAGGACCUGUACAGAUCAGCCAUCAUCACUACGGUUGCACAACCUUGCACAAGUGAGAAGUGGACUCUGGGCAGUGAGAUCUGCACUACGAGAUAACAUUGUCCUGAUGUGCCACAGGGGAAAUGCAGUUCAUCCCACAGAGAACAUCAAGAUUCUGAGCCAAUCUUCCAGCUCAUGGAGAAUGGUUUUCCACUCAGCCAUUAGGUACCAUCAAGCCUACAACUGUUUGCUCCAGCCACAGAUCCUGAGAGUGUUCAAUCUAUGAAAUGUGUAAAGCAACAUUCAAAAAAAGCUUACUGGAGCAGACUGAAGUCAAAGCCACUGAGUGUUCUUCUCAGCGCUAUUAGGAAAUUAUAGUGACUAAUGAGUACUGAGUUGUUAGAGAGGUGGCUGAUGGAUUAAGGACUAUUGCUUUCAGCAUCCUAUGAAUAUGCUGACCCACACAAGAGAAAACCCACAAGUUUGUAAGAGUUUCCCUUUCUAGACUAUACCGUAUCUCAGUGAAAUUUUGACUUCAUAAAAAAUAACUCCCUACUGGAUGGUUAUCCAUCUAAAUUGUGUCCACAUGUAAUAAGCCUGGCUUAUGCAUACUUCUGACA